rnacentral:rRNA from 2 species
UAACCUGCCUGGUAGCGGGGGGUAACUAUUGGAAACGAUAGCUAAUACCGCAUAAGAGUAGAUGUUGCAUGACAUUUACUUAAAAGGUGCAAUUGCAUCACUACCAGAUGGACCUGCGUUGUAUUAGCUAGUUGGUGGGGUAACGGCUCACCAAGGCGACGAUACAUAGCCGACCUGAGAGGGUGAUCGGCCACACUGGGACUGAGACACGGCCCAG